UACGGAGGGUCCAAGCGUUAUCCGGAAUCAUUGGGUUUAAAGGGUCCGUAGGCGGUUUAGUAAGUCAGUGGUGAAAGCCCAUCGCUCAACGGUGGAACGGCCAUUGAUACUGCUAGACUUGAAUUAUUAGGAAGUAACUAGAAUAUGUAGUGUAGCGGUGAAAUGCUUAGAUAUUACAUGGAAUACCAAUUGCGAAGGCAGGUUACUGCUAAUUGAUUGACGCUGAUGGACGAAAGCGUGGGUAGCGAACAGG
rnacentral:rRNA from 1 species